UACGAAGGGUGCAAGCGUUACUCGGAAUUACUGGGCGUAAAGCGUGCGUAGGUGGUGAGUUAAGUCUGAUGUGAAAUCCCCGGGCUCAACCUGGGAAUGGCAUUGGAUACUGGCUCGCUAGAGUGCGGUAGAGGGUGGUGGAAUUCCCGGUGUAGCAGUGAAAUGCGUAGAGAUCGGGAGGAACAUCUGUGGCGAAGGCGGCCACCUGGACCAACACUGACACUGAGGCACGAAAGCGUGGGGAGCAAACAGG
rnacentral:rRNA from 1 species